GAUGAAGAACGCAGUGAAAUGCGAUAAGUAAUGUGAAUUGCAGAAUUCAGUGAAUCAUCGAAUCUUUGAACGCACAUUGCGCCCGCCAGUAUUCUGGCGGGCAUGCCUGUUCGAGCGUCAUUACAACCCUCAGGCCCCCGGGCCUGGCGUUGGGGAUCGGCGGAAGCCCCCUGCGGGCACAACGCCGUCCCCCAAAUACAGUGGCGGUCCCGCCGCAGCUUCCAUUGCGUAGUAGCUAACACCUCGCAACUGGAGAGCGGCGCGGCCACGCCGUAAAACACCCAACUUCUGAAUGUUGACCUCGAAUCAGGUAGGAAUACCCGCUGAACUUAAGCAUAUCAUAAGCGGAGGA
rnacentral:misc_RNA from 1 species